GGCCCGCACCCGCGGUGGAGCAUGUGGUUUAAUUCGAAGCAACGCGAAGAACCUUACCAGGUCUUGACAUCCUCUGACAAUCCUAGAGAUAGGACGUCCCCUUCGGGGGCAGAGUGACAGGUGGUGCAUGGUUGUCGUCAGCUCGUGUCGUGAGAUGUUGGGUUAAGUCCCGCAACGAGCGCAACCCUUGAUCUUAGUUGCCAGCAUUCAGUUGGGCACUCUAAGGUGACUGCCGGUGACAAACCGGAGGAAGGUGGGGAUGACGUCAAAUCAUCAUGCCCCUUAUGACCUGGGCUACACACGUGCUACAAUGGACAGAACAAAGGGCAGCGAAACCGCGAGGUUAAGCCAAUCCCACAAAUCUGUUCUCAGUUCGGAUCGCAGUCUGCAACUCGACUGCGUGAAGCUGGAAUCGCUAGUAAUCGCGGAUCAGCAUGCCGCGGUGAAUACGUUCCCGGGCCUUGUACACACCGCCCGUAA
rnacentral:rRNA from 1 species